GCCGGCAGUCAUAUCACCCUGAAGCUCAGCAGGUGUGAGCCUGGUCAGUACCUGGAUGGGAGACCUCCUGGGAGAAACUAAGGCUGCUGCUGGAC
rnacentral:rRNA from 1 species